CGACUGGCGGCGUGCUUAACACAUGCAAGUCGAACGAAGCAUCCCGCCCGAGAAAAUGGAGUGCUUGCACAAAGUGGACUCAAUUGGGAUGACUGAGUGGCGGACGGGUGAGUAACGCGUGGGUAACCUGCCCUAUACAGGGGGAUAGCAGUUGGAAACGACUGAUAAUACCGCAUAAGCGCACGGUAUCGCAUGAUACAGUGUGAAAAACUCCGGUGGUAUAGGAUGGACCCGCGUCUGAUUAGCUAGUUGGUGAGGUAACGGCUCACCAAGGCGACGAUCAGUAGCCGACCUGAGAGGGUGACCGGCCACAUUGGGACUGAGACACGGCCCAAACUCCUACGGGAGGCAGCAGUGGGGAAUAUUGCACAAUGGGCGAAAGCCUGAUGCAGCGACGCCCGCGUGAGUGAUGAAGUAUUUCGGUAUGUAAAGCUCUAUCAGCAGGGAAGAUAAUGACGGUACCUGACUAAGAAGCACCGGCUAAAUACGUGCCAGCAGCAGC
rnacentral:rRNA from 1 species